GCCACCUUAGCUCAGUUGGUUAGAGCACCUGUUUUGUAAACAGGAUGUCCUGAGUUCGAAUCUCAGAGGUGGCU
rnacentral:tRNA from 1 species